GCUAGCGACGGCCCGUCGGCGCGGGUUAGAGGUGGGGGUGGGGGGUGGUGCGGAGUUACGGGGCGUAAGUGGAGGGUGGGUGGUGCGGUAAGGCGUGGCUGAAAUUCCAAGGCUUAACUGGGGGGGGCCGUUCGAAACGGCCGUGCUAGGGGGAGGGAAAGGGGAGGGGAAGUCCCGGUGUAGCGGUGAAAUGCGGAGAUAUCGGGAGGAACACCUGCGGCGAAGGCGGCUACCUGGACCGUUACCGACGCUGAGGCGCGAAAGCUAGGGGAGCAAACAGGAUUAGAUACCCGAGUAGUC
rnacentral:rRNA from 1 species